GAUGAACGCUGGCGGCGUGCUUAACACAUGCAAGUCGAACGAAGCUGUUGUUUGGAGACCUUCGGGUGGAAGAAUGACAGACUGAGUGGCGGACGGGUGAGUAACGCGUGGGUAACCUACCUUGCACAGGGGGACAACAGUUGGAAACGACUGCUAAUACCGCAUAAGACCACAGUACCGCAUGGUACAGGGGUAAAAACUGAGGUGGUGCAAGAUGGACCCGCGUCUGAUUAGCUAGUUGGUGGGGUAAAGGCCUACCAAGGCGACGAUCGGUAGCCGACCUGAGAGGGUGAUCGGCCACAUUGGGACUGAGACACGGCCCAAACUCCUACGGGAGGCAGCAGUGGGGAAUAUUGGACAAUGGGGGGAACCCUGAUCCAGCGACGCCGCGUGAGUGAAGAAGUAUUUCGGUAUGUAAAGCUCUAUCGGCAGGGAAGAAAAUGACGGUACCUGACUAAGAAGCCCGGCU
rnacentral:rRNA from 1 species